rnacentral:rRNA from 1 species
CAUAGCGACUAUCGUGGCAUAUCAAUAAGCGGAGGAAAAGAAACUAACUAGGAUUCCCUCAGUAACGGCGAGUGAAGCGGGAAGAGCUCAAAUUUGAAAUCUUCAAGGUUCUACCUUGACGAAUUGUAGUUUAAAGAAGUGUUUUCGGUUAGAGGAGUAGUAAAAGUUCUUUGGAAUAGGACAUCAUAGAGGGUGAGAAUCCCGUAUUUGACUAUUCUUUCUAGCUUUGUGAUACACUUUCAAAGAGUCGGAUUGUUUGGGAAUGCAGUCCAAAAUGGGUGGUAAAUUUCAUCUAAAGCUAAAUAUUGGCGAGAGACCGAUAGCGAACAAGUACCGUGAGGGAAAGAUGAAAAGAACUUUGAAAAGAGAGUUAAACAGUACGUGAAAUUGUCAAAAGGGAAGCGUUUGACACCAGUGUUGUUUUUCCGAAAAUCAAUUAAUGAAUGGCUUGAUUUUAAGUUUCAUGACCUUAAAAGCUUGUUUCUUAUUUUUCAUGUCUUUCGUAAUGCACUUUUCGGUUAACAAGUCAACAUCAAUUUCUUUUGUUGUAAAAGGUUAAGAGGAAGGUGGCUUUACUUUCGGGUAAAGUGUUUAUAGCCUUUUAACUCUGCAAUCGGAGAGAUUGAGGUCUGCAGCGUAGAUCCUUCGGGGUUAGAUACAUUUGUACUAAGCUAUAGCCUUUCAUAGACAACUUGUUGACUAUGAUCAGUCAUGUAGCUUACUCGCUUAUGCUAUUUUACCUACGCUUAGGAUGUUGAUAUGCAUGACUGAUAU